rnacentral:lncRNA from 1 species
UUGAUGAGCAGUGCCAUGUCCGCGCCCAGGAUUCGAACCAAUGAAACACUGGGCCGCCUGCAGCGGAGCGCGCGAACUUAACCACUCGGCCAUGGGGCCAGCCCCUAAGUUACUCCAUUAUUGAGGAUGCCUACUACAGCAUGGCUUUUGUCAAGCAGUGCCAUGUCCGCAUCUGGGAUCCAAACCAGCAAACCCCAGGCCGCCAAGAAGCGGAACAUGCGAACUUAACCACUGCGCCACUGGGCCAGCCCCUGUAACAUGGGAGCAACAGGAGCCACUGGCCUUGACGGGGCCCAGACGCUGAGAAGGAUGGGCCUGUCAGGGCUGCCCUAGAGGACAGAGACCAGAGCUCCUGCUGCACUGCUGUGAAGAGAAGAAGACAUGCAGAGAAACAACGCACAGGGGAGAAGCCCCUGUGAUGACGGAGGAGAGACUGCAGCGAUGUGUCCACAGCCCAGGAAGGCCUGGAACCACAAAGAGGCGGGAAGACUCCUCCCUCACAGCCUCCAGAGGGAGCGCGGCCGUGCUCACACCUUGAUUUUGGGCUUCUGGCCUCCAGAACUAUGUGCACCUGCUGUGGUUCUCUGGAUCUGUGGAUGCUUCACCAGGCUUUCCCAAGGCACCCCUACCUGGCCUCCUUACCCCAGGGAGUCUGCUCGGCGCCAUAGUCUUGGGACACCUCCUUAAACUCUCCAGAUAAGGGAGGUAAAAGAAAAAACAAACACAGCUACAUUGCAACUCAUUUGUUCUCAGCUUGGAACAUUUGCAUCUGUGCGAGGCAAUUAGGCUUAAUGGAACGGCCCCGUGCAGAGGACCCUGUUGCAAUGAUUUCUUGUUCCUGAAGCAAAACUCGGAGAGAAUAAGUCUCAAAGACAGCUGUGUUGAUUAUGUUGCUACCACACGCAGUCUCACGUCUCAGCUUCCAGGGAGGGCCUUCCAGGACAGUACGUGUCCCGAAGUGUGCCACCCUCUCCGGGAGAGCCAGCUGGUAGUUUUUGGCAGCUGGUGGCAUUGAACUUGAGCUUCGUUUUGGAAACAUCUUCUAAGACUCACCUGCUGCUACACCUAAUGGUACCAGACCUUGGGAGACAGUGUAGUCAGGAACCAAAGGGGCUCGUGCGAAGAAUGAGCUGGUGUGGUAGGAGACGGCCACAGAAGGGAAAACGCCUGAUUCUCCGUGGGCCUUCUCCACACACCGGGAGGCAGGCGUUCUUAGUGUCCUUCGCCCAGCUGCACCCCCACCAGUUUCAGAGGAAUGUCCAUGCUGGGAAUCUGGUUUUCCCCUGGAACGCCAUCUCUGUUUAACAUCAGAGGGUGAUGGAUUUUUUUAAACAGGAGAGUGGCUUGGCAUACUCCUCUACUGGCACAUCCACUUGUUAGGGAGGGGACCCCAUGUGCUGCAUCUUCAUGGGAGUUGUGGAAGCACCACAGAGAGUCAGUGGGCAUCUCGGCGGAAGACGAUUAGAAAGGAGUCUUCUCUGGACUGGGAAGCAUGUGAAGGAGGGCCGGAAGGGGGGCUGGAUGCGUGGAAUUCAGGUUUGUAUCACAGCUUCAGGAAGGCACUUUCAGCUGAUUGAGUAGCAUCUUGUCAUUAUUUAAGCUGCUGUCCAUCAGUAGUCUUAAAAUCCUUAUUCUCUUCUUGGUGACUUAUAGGAGAUUCUGACAUCAACUGUAAAAAGAAGAACAUUUAAAAUUCUAUUUACUUGAGAAUAAUUGUGAGGCCAAGUUGUAUCAGAAAAUCCAUUAAGUACUUAAAAGAUUAAUUUUCGUUAUGACUGCUAGUUAGUAAAUAUUAUCUUUUAUAUCAUCCUGAACAAUAAUAUGAGGGAUGGGAACUAUUUAACUUGUUUUGGUUUGAUUUUAAAACUUUAAUUAUGGUAAUAUUUGGCAUUAUUAUUAGUAUUAUAAGAGGACUGAAGCAAAUUACUUUUGGUGGUUGAUUUCUUGAAACAGUUUUUACUGGAUCACUGGAAAUGAAGCUUAAAUCCUGGAAGCAAGUGUAGAGAUGGGAGGAAAUUGAGUCUAAUGGGAGAAGAGUAAAGUUACCUGGGAAUUCCGAUUUAUUUUGGGCAAAAUCUCUUAUGGUUAGUUGCGUAAUGAUGAAGGAGUCGGUGUUCUGCCUGUUCAUUCAUUCAUUCAUUCAUUCAAUGAGUACUUACCGAAGCUGAUGCAUUCUUUUUUGGGGGGAGUGAUAUUAAUUUAAAAAAUUUUAUUUUUAAUAAGCAAUGUGUAGAUCUAAGAUAUACAAUAUGCUGAUUGGAUAUUCGUAUAUGUAGUGAAAUGAUUACUAUAGUAAAGCUAAUUAACAUAUCUUCUCCUUACGUAGUUACUGUCUUUGCUGUGAAAUGAG